rnacentral:rRNA from 1 species
CCCUAACCCUCUCCCCGCAGGCGGGGAGAGGGAAACGCCCGCCAAUGCGCGAUGGCAGUGCCGAUAAGCACCCUCCUGACUCCCUGCUAAGUCCGGAAGUCCUCACCCUGGCUGGAUCACCUCCUUAAGCCGAAUUCUGCAGAUAUCCAUCACACUGGCGGCCGCUCGAGCAUGCAUCUAGAGGGCCCAAUUCGCCCUAUAGUGAGUCGUAUUACAAUUCACUGGCCGUCGUUUUACAACGUCGUGACUGGGAAAACCCUGGCGUU